rnacentral:rRNA from 1 species
CCUACGGGUGGCUGCAGUGGGGAAUAUUGCACAAUGGGCGCAAGCCUGAUGCAGCGACGCCGCGUGAGGGAUGACGGCCUUCGGGUUGUAAACCUCUUUCAGCUCCGACGAAGCGCAAGUGACGGUAGGAGCAGAAGAAGCACCGGCCAACUACGUGCCAGCAGCCGCGGUAAUACGUAGGGUGCAAGCGUUGUCCGGAAUUACUGGGCGUAAAGAGCUCGUAGGCGGUUUGUCGCGUCGUCUGUGAAAUUCUGCAGCUUAACUGCAGGCGUGCAGGCGAUACGGGCAGACUUGAGUACUACAGGGGAGACUGGAAUUCCUGGUGUAGCGGUGAAAUGCGCAGAUAUCAGGAGGAACACCGGUGGCGAAGGCGGGUCUCUGGGUUGUAACUGACGCUGAGGAGCGAAAGCGUGGGUAGCGAACAGGCUUAGAUACCCCUGUAGUC